GGCUGGUCUGAUGGCAGUGGGUUAUCAGAACCUUUUAACAUUAGUGCCACUAAUGGAGGGUUGGUCUACAACAGCCCUCCACUGCUAAAUUUGACUACCUUUAA
ensembl:Y_RNA Y_RNA Y RNA